UGCGGCUGGAUCACCUCCUUUCAAGGAUGUUUCCUGACACGUUGGGAAACGCCGAAAUAAAGACCUGCAUUGGAUCAGUGCAGGCAACGGAUGGCCUCAGGGCGCCGUCAACAUAUCCCUUCCUGUAAUGUUUUGGGCUAGUAGCUCAGUUGGUUAGAGCACACGCUUGAUAAGCGUGGGGUCGGAGGUUCAAGUCCUCCCUGGCCCACCACGACUGUGGUGGUUUCGAGCCUUGAGAGAGCGAAGUUCAUUGAUGACUAUCGAUGAUGCUUUGCCGAUCUUGACUGGGGGCGUAGCUCACCUGGGAGAGCACCUGCUUUGCAAGCAGGGGGUCGUCGGUUCGAUCCCGUCCGCCUCCACCAGAAACCACACCGGUAUACGCUGCUUGGCGAAAGCUUUGAGCGGCAUGAUGGUGCGAUAACAUUACAGGUUAAGGGAAAAAUGUUUCCUCCCUGCCGCACUUUGGUGCGGGAGCGAUGAAAAAGUCUGUUCUUUGUCAGUGUGAAUAGGUUGGUGCACUUUCUGGGUGCUGCCACGAUCCGGGUUGGUCUGACCCAUGUGGAUCGGUUUUGGGUUCCUGGACUUUGGUCCGGGAGGCUCUGAUCCGGUCUCGUGUUAAGGAUUGUGGCGUAUAGCGGUCAGAGAGUGUUUUAUAAGUAUGAUGAACUUUGCGUGCGAUGCAUUGCAUUUUCUCUGCGCAGGAAACUCUGAAGCGCGCGAGCGUGGAUGGUUGCUGUGCAUGUGUAGUGUGUGAGCAUGAGAAGGGCAUUCGGUGGAUGCCUUGGCAUC
rnacentral:tRNA from 1 species